GCUUAGUGGUCAGUGCAUUGGUGCGUAAAGCCAAAGAGCCCGGGUUCGAUUCCCGG
rnacentral:tRNA from 1 species